rnacentral:misc_RNA from 1 species
UGUACUUUUACUAGGUGCAUGUGCAUGUCAUACUUCGAUGUAUCGUGCACCAUUGAUACCAUACAUUGCUGCGAUCCUGGCUGGACCCCACUCUGGGAUAGACCAUACAGGGUAGACUUGAGUUUUACUUUCGUUCGAGCAUCGCUCUCAGUUCAGGAUUACCGCUGUGCGUUCUCGCGCACACUGUUCUCGCGCGUGCGACUCUUGUGAAAUCGUCCCAGGCAGAUGAAUGCCAUCGCGUAUUAACUACGUGAGUGAGAUCCUUACGUUGCGAGGAUAUCGCACGCAUUAUCUCCAGAAAAAUGUUGAUUCCUGCUAGAAGCAUCGCCACAGGUGGCUUGUUCAUCUUUACAUCACGAUUCCUCGUUCUAAUGACACUUGCCGGAGCUACGACCUUGCCACCCAGGAUGCUGCAGGAUCUAGGUAAGCGCACAAACCUCUCUAUGGAGAGAUACAGCGAGGCGGAACGGACGAUCAUGAACUCGCAGACGCAUCUCAGCCGAGAUUCACCAUCGUGGUUCCUUGGUGCAUCUCACGAGAUGACCGAAGGCGCUCAAACUCUCUCGAGGAAAGCCCUGCGGAUUGAGACGAUGGCGGUGAUGCUCGUAGAAGCGUUUAAUAUGUCAUCGGAUCAAGCGUCCUUGCUUCUGCCAACGGUGACAGCCGUCCUCUGUCCAGACUCGCCCAGCUUCCUACGAGUGAUGUCCGAGUGUAAAAAGACGGAUGUCCGUUACAGAACACACACGGGUCGAUGCAACAAUCCGUUGCAUCCGACUUGGGGUGCAGCGCUGGAGGCUUACGUGAGGUUUUUGCCACCAAAGUAUGAGGACGGUGUUUCCCUGCCCCACACGAAGCUACCAAGUGCGAGAGAAAUCUCCUCGAAAAUACAUUCCGGAGGAUUGGACCUUAAGCAUCCUCAUUUAAUGGCACUCACCGCGCUUUUUGGUCAAUUCCUUGCUCACGAUUUAGCGCAUACACCCAGAAUGGAAUUGCCGGACGGCACUAGACUCAAGUGUUGUAAUGUUGAUUAUGAGAAUUUUCAUCCAGAGUGCUUCCCGAUCCGCGCGGAACAGCCGGUCGGUUGUAUGGAGUAUUCGAGAUCGGCACCACAUCCAGGAAGUUCAUUACACGGUUGCAAGUUGGGACCACGACAACAAACUAAUCAGGCGUCUUCCUAUCUGGAUCUAUCACCACUUUACGGUAGUUCCGAAGAGACGGCUAAAGCUCUACGAUCAGGCAAAGGCGGUUUGCUAAAUACACAGAGGAAGAAUUUGCCGAUGGCUUCGCCAAGAUACGAGAGUUGUCGAAGCGCAAGUAAAGCAUUUCCGUGUUUCUUUAGCGGCGAUUCAAGGGUAAACGAGAAUCCGGGUCUUACUUUGAUGCACGUGUUAUUCUUACGGGAGCAUAACCGAAUAGCUGCAAAACUUGAACGAUUGAACCCUCACUGGGACGACGAAAGAUUAUAUCAAGAAGCAAGGAGGAUUGUUAUCGCCGAGCUGCAGCAUAUAACUUAUAAUGAAUUUCUACCCAUCAUUUUCGGAGAACGUGCCCUCGACAAAUUCAACUUACGUUUGAUGCAACGGGGCUUUUUCCGCGGCUACGACAGCCGCGUGGAUGCGACGCUUUCGAACUCGGCAGCGUCGGCCGGGCUCUCCUUUGUCGCCGCACUGACUCCGAAAACUCUGGACCUGGUUGACUCACGAUCAUCGUUAAAAUCUGGCGAAAGAUCUUUACUAUCAGCUUUUUAUUCGCCGCAGGAAUUCUACGAGGCUGGCGCGAUCGAUCGGUUGAUUGUCGGAGCUACAGCGGGACAUUCUAGGAAGCCUCUGCCUCCGGGCUUGAACGAAAUACUCUUGGACCGAUAUUUCCACGAUGGGAAAACCAAAGACGUAGCUGUGGAUUACGCCGCGCAAAUUAUACAACAGGGAAGAGAUCAUGGCUUGCCGUCCUAUGCCAAAUGGCGAAGCUUCUGUGAUUUGCCGAAUCUCAUUGAUUUUUAUGAUCUUAAAGAUACGAUGGCUAAAGAUACUAUCGAGAGACUUCGAACAGUCUACAAGUAAGAUGAUAUAUAGGAAAUGUGCAGAAUAUAGAUCUAGUAACUGGAACACUUUCAGAAGCACCAAUACCUGAUUCUGUUCUCGGACCGACAUUUCUUUGUUUAUUGGGGCGAACAUUUCGGAAUAUCCGUUUAGGUGACAGAUAUUGGUACGAAAAUGGAAAUACUCCUGGUUCAUUUACAAUAAAG